AAGUCGUAACAAGGUCUUCGUAGGUGAACCUGCGAAGGGAUCAUUAACACGUUCCAAACCAAUUAUCAACCCAUCUGCGAACUUCUGUUACCGCCGAUAUGGCUGGCCACAAGUGUAUGGCGCGUACGAUCGACUCCACGAUGAGGUGUACACUCUACACCUGGUCUAGUACGCCUCGUGUCCGUCUCCACUCUCGGGUGGAGCAGGACAGCUAUCCUCGUAGCUUAGUCCGGCCCCCAUAUAUGCGCUUCGGCAGUCGUCAUCUGCUGCCGAUUCGCAUAUCACACACGCCCUGCGACU
rnacentral:misc_RNA from 1 species